AUUGAACGCUGGCGGCAUGCUUUACACAUGCAAGUCGAACGGUAACAGGUCUUCGGAUUCUGACGCGUGGCGAACGGGUGAGUAAUACAUCGGAACGUGCCUAGUACUGGGGGAUAACUACUCGAAAGAGUAGCUAAUACCGCAUGAGAUCUACGGUUGAAAGCAGGGGACGUUCGUGCCUUGUGCUACUUGUGCGGCUGAUGGCCGAUGAGUUAGUUGGUGGGGUAAAGGCUUACCAAGCCUGCGAUCUGUAGCUGGUCUGAGAGGACGACCAGCCACACUGGGACUGAGACACGGCCCAGACUCCUACGGGAGGCAGCAGUGGGGAAUUUUGGACAAUGGGCGAAAGCCUGACCCAGCAAUGCCGCGUGCAGGAUGAAGGCCCUCGGGUUGUAAACUGCUUUUGUACGGAACGAACAGCUUGGGGCUAAUAUCCCCGGGUCAUGACGGUACCGUAAGAAUAAGCACCGGCUAACUACGUG
rnacentral:rRNA from 1 species